ACUGUUUUUCCACUUUCCCUCUCCCUGUGUAUAUUUUGAUGCUUUGGGUUGACUGAUUGAGCUAAUAACCCUUUUGCUAAAAACACUUGGUAUAGAUCCAAGUACAACGGGGCUUAAGAGUGAUGUGCACAUCUUUUUGCUUAUGCAAGGCAAACAUUGCACACACCAUACAAAAUUGUUGUACUUUUGUAUUGUAUCUAUUAGCAUGCCUCCAGGAAUAAGCCAUAAACAGGGACGUAGCAUUUUCUCAUUUGGUUGCUCAUUAAAAAAGUUCACAGUUGCAACAGAAUCAUAUUUGUAUUCCAGGUAGUAUUUUUUCAUGCUAAACGGCUGGGUAUUUGGGUUUUUAUGGUUAAUGUUAGAUCAAUCAUGCACUUUCUAUUCUUCAGGGAGGAGACCACUGAUUCUGGAUCCAUAAAUUCUCUUUCAGUCUCCCUCCAUUUUCACCUUGGAAAGACUGCACGAUGCAAUGAGCUGUAUAGAAACAAAUAUCAGGAUAUCACAACAAAGAGGUUUUGUCUGAAGGAAAGCAGAGUGAGAUGUUGUGUUAUAGACAAAUCCUGCAAAUCUGAAGGAAGCAGGUGAGCUAAUAGCAAUAACAGUAGAACUUAUAUACUGCUUUAUAGUGCUUUACAGCCCUCUCUAAGUGGUUUACAGAGUCAGCCUCUGGCCCCCCAACAAUUUGGCUCCCUAUUUUACCUACCUGGAAGGAUGGAAGGCUGAGUCAAUCUUGAGCCUGAUAUCCUAGAUAUCUAGCCCCACUCACCCACCUCGAUCUCAGAGGGGUAUAAAUAAGUGUCUGCUUCCAUCCUGGGCUACAUUUUGCAGGUUCCAGAGAAGAUCGCAAGAUGAAAACUCUACUGCUGACCUUGGUGAUGGUGACAAUCAUGUGCCUGGACUUAGGUAAGGCCACCAAACCUUGAUUAUGGGUGGCAAUCAAA